UAGGGAAUCUUCCGCAAUGGACGCAAGUCUGACGGAGCAACGCCGCGUGAGUGAAGAAGGAUUUCGGUUCGUAAAACUCUGUUGUUAGAGAAGAACAGCGCAUAGAGUAACUGUUAUGCGUGUGACGGUAUCUAACCAGAAAGCCACGGCUAACUACGUGCCAGCAGCCGCGGUAAUACGUAGGUCCCGAGCGUUGUCCGGAUUUAUUGGGCGUAAAGCGAGCGCAGGCGGUCAAUUAAGUCUGAUGUGAAAGCCCCCGGCUCAACCGGGGAGUGUCAUUGGAAACUGGUUGACUUGAGUGCAGAAGAGGAGAGUGGAAUUCCAUGUGUAGCGGUGAAAUGCGUAGAUAUAUGGAGGAACACCAGUGGCGAAGGCGACUCUCUGGUCUGUAACUGACGCUGAGGUUCGAAAGCGUGGGUAGCAAACAGG
rnacentral:rRNA from 1 species